rnacentral:miRNA from 1 species
ACCGCAGUUAUAUUCUAGGGCU